GAUUCUGGCUCAGGAUGAACGCUAGCUACAGGCUUAACACAUGCAAGUCGAGGGGCAUCAGGCGGCAGCAAUGCCGUGCUGGCGACCGGCGCACGGGUGAGUAACGCGUAUCCGACCUGGCCCUUGCCCCGGGGAUAGCCCCCUCGGAAAGAGGGAUUAAUACCGGAUGUGUGCGGGAUAUGCAUGUUCCUGCAUGAAAGGUUUUACGGCAAGGGAUGGGGAUGCGUCCCAUUAGGCAGACGGCGGGGUAACGGCCCACCGUGCCGUCGAUGGGUAGGGGUACUGAGAGGUAGGUCCCCCCACACUGGAACUGAGACACGGUCCAGACUCCUACGGGAGGCAGCAGUGAGGAAUAUUGGUCAAUGGGGGGAACCCUGAACCAGCCAAGUAGCGUGGAAGGGACGGCGGCCCUACGGGUUGUAAACUCCUUUUGCGCGGGGGUAAAGUGUGGCACGCGUGCCAUAUUGCAAGUACCGCGCGAAUAAGCAUCGGCUAACUCCGUGCCAGCCGCUGC
rnacentral:rRNA from 1 species